UAGCCUAGUGGUUAAGGCUAUGGAUCGCUAAUCCGGAGACGGCGGGUUCGAUUCCCAC
rnacentral:tRNA from 1 species